AACGAACGCUGGCGGCAUGCCUAACACAUGCAAGUCGAACGAGACCUUCGGGUCUAGUGGCGCACGGGUGCGUAACGCGUGGGAACCUGCCCUUAGGUUCGGAAUAACUCCCCGAAAGGGGUGCUAAUACCGGAUAAUGUCUUCGGACCAAAGAUUUAUCGCCUUUGGAUGGGCCCGCGUUGGAUUAGCUAGUUGGUAGGGUAAAAGCCUACCAAGGCGACGAUCCAUAGCUGGUCUGAGAGGAUGAUCAGCCACACUGGGACUGAGACACGGCCCAGACUCCUACGGGAGGCAGCAGUGGGGAAUAUUGGACAAUGGGCGAAAGCCUGAUCCAGCAAUGCCGCGUGAGUGAUGAAGGCCUUAGGGUUGUAAAGCUCUUAUACCCGGGAUGAUAAUGACAGUACCGGGAGAAUAAGCGCCGGCUAACUCCGUG
rnacentral:rRNA from 1 species